AAAUCCUGACUAGUAAUGGAAAGGAUGGAUUUAUUACAUACAAAAACCAAUGCAUUAAAUUGUUAAAGACGGGGGGUGGUCUUAUUGGUGAUUCAUAAUAACUUUACGAAUCGUUUUGCCUUGUGCUGGCGAUAAUUCAUUCAAAUUUCUGCCCUAUCAACUUUCGAUGGUAGUAUAGAGGACUACCAUGGUGGUAACGGGUAACGGAGAAUCAGGGUUUGAUUCCGGAGAAGGAGCCUGAGAAACGGCUACUACUUCUAAGGAAGGCAGCAGGCGCGCAAAUUACCCAAUCCCGACACGGGGAGGUAGUGACAAAAAAUAACAAUAUCGAUAAUUAUUUUUAUUGAUAAUUGGAAUGAGUACAAUCUAAAUCCCUUAACGAGUAACAAUUGGAGGGCAAGUCUGGUGCCAGCAGCCGCGGUAAUUCCAGCUCCAAUAGCAUAUAUUAAAGUUGUUGCAGUUAAAAAGCUCGUAGUUGGAUUUUAAGGUAUCACGUUUUGCGCCAUGCUUUGUGGAAUGUGUUCUUUAAAAUUUUGUCAGAUAUUCAUAGUUGUACUUAAUUGUGUGAUUAUUUUGGUUCUUUCGGGGAUCAUUUGCUUGUGGGACCUAUUUUAUCGAGAUUGUGGAUUAGGGUUCUUCGGAGCUCUGGUUCUGCUUGGUGAAAUAACCUACAAGUAGGAUUCUGAUUCAUUUACUUUGAGUAAAUUAGAGUGUUCAAAGCAAGCUAAAUUAUUAUUUAGCAAUGAAUACUAUUAGCAUGGGAUAAUGGAACAAGACAUUGGGUCUAUUUUAUUGGUUUUUUAGAACUAAUGUAAUGAUUAAAAGGGAUAGUUGGGGGCAUUAGUAUUUAAUUGUCAGAGGUGAAAUUCUUGGAUUUAUGAAAGACUAACUUCUGCGAAAGCAUUUGUCAAAGAUGUUUUCAUUAAUCAAGAACGAAAGUUAGGGGAUCGAAGACGAUCAGAUACCGUCGUAGUCUUAACCAUAAACUAUGCCGACCAGGGAUUGGAAGUAGCAUUUUUUGAGUAUUACUCCUUCAGCACCUUUUUACGAGAAAUCACAAGUUUUUGGGUUCUGGGGGGAGUAUGGUCGCAAGGCUGAAACUUAAAGGAAUUGACGGAAGGGCACCACCAGGAGUGGAGCCUGCGGCUUAAUUUGACCCAACACGGGAAAACUUACCAGGUCCAGACACAGUUAGGAUUGACAGAUUGAGAGCUCUUUCUUGAUUCUGUGGGUGGUGGUGCAUGGCCGUUCUUAGUUGGUGGAGUGAUUUGUCUGGUUAAUUCCGAUAACGAACGAGACCUCAGCCUGCUAAUUAGUUGUAUUAAUAAUAACAUUAUGGGUGGUUUUAUUCUUGAUUAGAAAACUUGUUUUUAUUGAUAUCAGGUGCUGGUAAAACAGUAUUUUUACUUCUUAGAGGGACACUUGGUGUUUAACCAAGGGAAGUUUGAGGCAAUAACAGGUCUGUGAUGCCCUUUAGAUGUUCUGGGCUGCACGCGCGCUACACUGAUACGAGCAACAAGCACAAAAGACCUCAUCCGAAAGGUUUGGGUAAACUUUUGAAAUCGUAUCGUGCUGGGGAUCGAUAAUUGCAAUUAUUUAUCGUGAACGAGGAAUUCCUAGUAGGCGCAAGUCAACAGCUUGCGCCGAUUACGUCCCUGCCCUUUGUACACACCGCCCGUCGCUGCUACCGAUGUUUAAUGGUGCGGUGAAUUCUUAUGAUUGAGAACAGUUAUUGAUU
rnacentral:rRNA from 1 species